rnacentral:rRNA from 1 species
UACGAAGGGAGCUAGCGUUGCUCGGAAUCACUGGGCGUAAAGCGCACGUAGGCGGCUUUCUAAGUCAGGGGUGAAAUCCUGGAGCUCAACUCCAGAACUGCCUUUGAUACUGGGAAGCUCGAGUCCGGAAGAGGUGAGUGGAACUCCGAGUGUAGAGGUGAAAUUCGUAGAUAUUCGGAAGAACACCAGUGGCGAAGGCGGCUCACUGGUCCGGUACUGACGCUGAGGUGCGAAAGCGUGGGGAGCAAACAGG